AUGAAAGAUUAACUUCUGCGAAAGCAUCUGCCAAGGAUGUUUUCAUUAAUCAAGAACGAAAGUUAGGGGAUCGAAGACGAUCAGAUACCGUCGUAGUCUUAACCAUAAACGAUGCCGACCAGCGAUUAGGAGACGUUGAAUACAAAACACCACCAUCGGUGCGGUCGUCCUUGGCGUCUCGGUUUCGGCCGGGGCGCGGGGACGGCUUAGCCCGGUGGCACCGGUGAAUGACUCCCCUAGCAGCUUGUGAGAA
rnacentral:rRNA from 1 species